GGAAGUAUAUCCAACAGCUCUUCUAGUAUUUGCCAUGUUCUUUUUUUGGCUGAUAUAACUGUUAAUUUUUUGUUACUGCAUCUGUAGCUUGAAUAGAGCAGUUAUUUCACCACCGAUAUACUGGAAUUUUUCAUUUUUGGACUGAUGAAAUGGUCUAAAACUUGAUUCCAUUUUUUCUCCCCUGAUGUUAGAAAUCAGUUUAAAUUGUGCCUUUCCUGAAGAAAAAAUAGAGUGGAAAAAAAGGCAUGUCACAAAAUUCCCUGUCAGUGUCAAUGAUGGUCUGAUGAUCCUGUUCACUUUCUGUAUUUAGCUAGAAAAUAUGGCUCUGUGAAAAGCUGUAUGUUUCACAGGCACUGCUGAUAUUUCAUGGAGGAGAUUGGAGUCAAUGGUUAGCCUCCUUAGCCUCCUGUCCAGCUGGUCCUCAGGUGCAUUGCUACUAAGCCACUUCUAAUGACAAUACCCAGAUGGGUCAACAGACUUUCUGGGUGAAGAUACCACCAUUUCCAGUUCUCCUGCUCUCCCUAAAGACCUCAGGCACUUGUCAUAUGGAAGUUCAAGCAGCAAGGGGAGCCUCUGAUCCCCAGAGGCACCUCCCACUGGUUUCAGCACCCAGGAGGCAAGCUAAGGAGAGGCAGGUUGCACUGAUUUUCAAGGAUCGGAGAUUUGAUGAAGAGGAUUCAUUUCAAGAAAUAAACCUUUUAAAUUAACCGCAAGAUGAGGGAAAUUUCUUUAUUUAAAAAAUGCGCUAGCCCCUUCUUUGUUUCUUUUAUUAUUAUUAAUAUUAUUUUCCAUCCGGCUCUGGGUCAUUAAGGAGGGUCCAGAAGUCACAGAUUGCCUUUCUGAAGGAGGAGAGCUGAGAACUUCGAAUGUCACACAUUUUGUUUGGCUCCAAACCCUUCAUUUAUUGCAACACAAUUUGUUACCUGUGGUUGGCUCUGCACACCAUUGUGUGCUGUGCGCCAGGACUGAUUUAGCAGGGAAUGUCCUCUCCACCUUGAACUUGAGAGGGGGAAUAUCUCUUGAGAGAGGCGAUAGAAGAAUCAUGAAAGUCAGUCUUCCAGCUACUUAAGAAGAGAAAUGCCCUUUGAGGUCUGGGUAAAGUCCCCUCAAGCUUUGACAGGGUAUGGAGUUCAGGAAACCCUGGUUAUAACAAAAGCAGAUGGUUCUGUGAGGGCACAUUUAGGAUGCAGGGGUAAAGAAAUGGAAAAAAAAGAAAUCCUGGAACCAACAUGUGUCCUGAUGUGCCAUCCUGCCAUAGAGGUGUGCAGAUCGCAGUGGACACUAGCCAGGGCUGGAGGCAAAUGAUGGGUCAAGAUGAUUAAAGGACUAAUGCCAUGUUACCCUGGUCUUCCUUGGCAAGGCUGCAAAGUACCAUCUUUGAGGAUGGUAGUUUCUUUCCGAACCAUUUGGGAAUAGUUUGUUCCCCUCCAGUCCUUCCUGGCCACAGCUUCCUUGUAGCUCCCUGCAAAAGCUCCUGCAACCUGAUUGCAAAUGUAGCCUCCCAGUUCCCCAGCCUUCUGCCUAGCUGCAGCAUGGAGAGAUGCAAAACAAGAGUGUUGGAGCAAGCGUCUGCUGUCUUCUAUAAGAAAACUUUUCUUUUUUAGAUAAGUUCAUUUAAAACCCCAAAUGGUUGAGCCUCUUUCCUGUUUAAACAAGAGCCAGUCCUUCAGAAACACAACUGCUCACCUAACCAUAGAUAACCACCUCAGCUGUGUAGGAUGAACCUGCACCAGAGGCCCUUCACAGGUAAUGUCUGGGAAUGGACAGCUUUUGGGGUCUGGAGCCAUCUGCAUCCCUCGCUCCCAGUGAGGCUUCCUGAUCCAAACCCUAGUGCGGGGCCUCCUUGAAGCCAUCCUCUUUGCAGGAAGAUCCUGGCCACUGGUGAGACUGUACAGGCAGUGCACCACUGUCCUGGGAUGAGAAGUGCAGCGUUUGCCCUACUGAAGUGUCUCAGAACAGGUCAGGUAGGCAGCAGCAACUACCUGAGCUAGAGGGGAGCCAAGACACCAGGGUUAACAACCCUCAUCUUGGGAAGAAAAAAGACACAGGAUCUUUAACGACCAAAACGGCUGAGACCUUUGUUUUAUAUCUCUUCUGAAAAGCAAUCACGCACAUUUUAGCAGGGGAGCUUUUAUUCUCAUGCGGAUGGGGUAGCCAGUGCAGUGUCCUCUCCCAAGCGCAUCCGGACCUGGUCAGUCCAAGUGCACAGAAGAGCAACAUGAAACAUGUUUGACCUUCACAACUUUCCUUUACAGACCAGCAGGCUAAAACCCUGAAGGAAUUUUCCUGAGUGAGCUUGUCCAAAGCAGCGUUCACCACCUCAUUCAAUAUUUGCCUGGAAAAAAAAUGCCAAUUAUUGAAAGACAGUCCUGGCUGGGCAUCAAUAGGCAGCCAGGUGUGAGAAGUUGAAGAGAAAUGCAUCUCAUUAAUGUGGAAUUGUUUUUAGGUUAAUAAUCUUGCGUUAAUUUUCCUUUAAAAUAUUGUCUUUGACCGUUAAACGCUUGCACUGUUAUAAAAAGAACGUAAUAAAUGAUCUUGAAGCAAA